rnacentral:rRNA from 1 species
UACGUAGGCAGCGAGCGUUGUUCGGAGUUACUGGGCGUAAAGAGUGCGUAGGCGGUGUUCUAAGUCUGUUGUGAAAUCUCCCGGCUCAACUGGGAGGGUGCGGCGGAAACUGGGACGCUGGAGUACGGGAGAGGUAAGCGGAAUUCCUGGUGUAGCGGUGAAAUGCGUAGAUAUCAGGAGGAACACCUGCGGUGUAGACGGCUUACUGGACCGUAACUGACGCUGAGGCACGAAAGCGUGGGUAGCAAACAGG